rnacentral:rRNA from 1 species
AUUGAACGCUGGCGGAAUGCUUUACACAUGCAAGUCGAGCGGCAGCGCGGGGGCAACCCUGGCGGCGAGCGGCGAACGGGUGAGUAAUACAUCGGAACGUACCCUGUCGUGGGGGAUAACCAACCGAAAGGUUGGCUAAUACCGCAUACGACCUGAGGGUGAAAGCGGGGGAUCGCAAGACCUCGCGCGAUAGGAGCGGCCGAUGUCGGAUUAGCUAGUUGGUGAGGUAAAGGCUCACCAAGGCGACGAUCCGUAGCGGGUCUGAGAGGACGGCCCGCCACACUGGAACUGAGACACGGUCCAGACUCCUACGGGAGGCAGCAGUGGGGAAUUUUGGACAAUGGGGGCAACCCUGAUCCAGCCAUUCCGCGUGAGUGAAGAAGGCCUUCGGGUUGUAAAGCUCUUUCGGCAGGAACGAAACGCUCUGGGCUAAUACCCCGGGGUAAUGACGGUACCUGAAGAAGAAGCACCGGCUAACUACGUGCCAGCAGCCGCGGUAAUAUGUAGGGUGCGAGCGUUAAUCGGAAUUACUGGGCGUAAAGCGUGCGCAGGCGGUUUUGUAAGACAGAUGUGAAAUCCCCGGGCUUAACCUGGGAACUGCGUUUGUGACUGCAAGACUUGAGUGCGGCAGAGGGGGGUGGAAUUCCACGUGUAGCAGUGAAAUGCGUAGAGAUGUGGAGGAACACCGAUGGCGAAGGCAGCCCCCUGGGUCGACACUGACGCUCAUGCACGAAAGCGUGGGUAGCAAACAGGAUUAGAUACCCUGGUAGUCCACGCCCUAAACGAUGCGAACUAGGUGUUGGAGAAGGAGACUUCUUUAGUACCGCAGCUAACGCGUGAAGUUCGCCGCCUGGGGAGUACGGUCGCAAGAUUA